GACAGGGUCUCACGGAGUUGCUUAGUGCUUCGCUAAAUUGCUGAGGCUGGCUUUGAACUCACUAUCCUCCUGCCUCAGCCUUCAGGUCUUCCUGCCUUAGCCUCCCUAGCUGCUGGGAUUACAGGCGUGAGCCACCACACCCAGACAUUCCUUUUUAAUUGAACCUCAUCGCCCCACUCCCUUAAUGGGAAGAAAUCUCUCAAAAUUUCAAGCCUCCUUCACCUUUCAUUUCCCCAAUAUGGAAUCUACCCCGGUGGCCACAGAUCUCUCUCUCUCCUCUUCUUGCCAAUCCGUUCCCCUUACAGACACCACAUUGCUUCUUUCUUUGGCCCCGAGUAGCCCACACCUGCUCACGUUUCUCAACACAACCUUACAACUCCUCGACAAUUCUAACCCUCCUAUACUUCAGAUGGCGGGCUCUGCGUCCCACGGCUCACGGACAGCAAACCCUGUCCCUCUCCGUGGACCUCCAAUCCAACCUCUCUCUUCACCACUCCUCAAGUAAUUCCCCUGAACUGCUUUAUUCCCAUGUCUCCUACUUUGGGCACCCUCCCCCACCCUAUGUCUCUAUCCACCAUGCCACCUAAGGGUUCCCUGGGCAACACAACUGACAAUGUCACCUCAGAGCCAGCCUGGCACCUUCUUCCUCUGCAGAUGUCCCAUUCUUCGCUGCCUCACACCCCCUAUUCCCACCUUCUGUCUCCCUGUCCUCCUCACGCUCCAUAUAACCAGAUACUCUGAGGGGGAGGUUGAACUGACCCUCUCCUCCCGCUCCUGGACUCCACUUCAAUGUCCCAGAUGCAUAAGACCAAUCGUCGCGCCAGUCCUCAUUGGAUCGGGCAUAUUGGCAGCACUGGCACGGGGUAGCAGGAAUUGGUACAGCCACUGUCUUUACUGUAAACUCUCCCAAGAACUGAAGGAGGACUUUGAGCAGGUGGCAGACUCCCUGGGGUCUCUUCAAAUCCAAGGGACCUCCUCAGCCAACGUAGGUCUCCAAAAUAGGAGAGCCACUGACUUACUAACGGCAGGGAAGGGAGGCGCUUG
rnacentral:lncRNA from 1 species